GGGGUUCUUUUUUGGUAGCUGAGGUAGGAAUGAAUGCUGUCCUGGAGGAAGGUAAUGCCAAGAACUCUUUUGCUUGAUCCUUAAGGCUAUGAGCUGUUGCUUUAGAUGACCUUGGGAAUUUGUUCACAUGGGUCAGAUUUGCCCCUUCUGAGGACUGCUGUCAGCCAGCAUGAAUGACAAUCUAGGACCUCUGCCUGAGAAAUACAUGGAGGUUCAGCGUUUUGCAGAAACUUCAGUUGAAUCCUCAACAGAAUGCAACCAACCCCAACUACAGUGCAAGCAGAAGAAAGGGG
rnacentral:lncRNA from 1 species